rnacentral:rRNA from 1 species
GCGAUGUUUCAUUUCCAAAUUUCUCCUGCCCUUAUCAACUUUUCCGACGGUAGGGUAGUGGCCUACCGUGGUGGUAACGGGUAACGGAGGAUUAGGGUUCGAUUCCGGAGAGGGAGCCUGAGAAACGGCUACCACAUCCAAGGAAGGCAGCAGGCGCGCAAAUUACCCAAAUCCCAACUCGGGGAGGUAGUGACAAGAAAUAACGAUGCUCCGGCCAUCGGUCGGGUAAUCGGAAUGAGGACAAUUUAAAUCCCUUAUCGAGGAUCAAUUGGAGGGCAAGUCUGGUGCCAGCAGCCGCGGUAAUUCCAGCUCCAAUAGCGUAUAUUUAAGUUGCUGCGGUUAAAAAGCUCGUAGUCGGAUUUCGGGUGGUGCCUACCGGUCCGCCUUUGGUGUGUACUGGUAGGCGCCACCUUUCUGCCGAGGACGGGUUCCUGGGCUUAACUGUCUGGGGCCCGGAGUCGGCGACGUCACUUUGAGUAAAUUAGGGUGUUUAAAGCAGGCUUAUGCUCUGUAUACACUAGCAUGGGAUGACACGAUAGGACUUCGGUCUAUCUUGUCGGUCUGUAGAUCGGAGUAAUGAUUAAGAGGGACAGUCGGGGGCAUUCGUAUUUCGUAGUCAGAGGUGAAAUUCUUGGAUUUACGGAAGACGAACUUCUGCGAAAGCAUUUGCCAAGGAUGUUUUCAUUGAUCAAGAACGAAAGUCGGGGGCUCGAAGACAAUUAGAUACCGUCGUAGUCUCGACCAUAAACGAUGCC